GUAGUCCAUGCCGUAAACGUUGGGCGCUAGGCGUGGGUCUCAUUCCACGAGAUCCGUGUCGAAGCUAACGCAUUAAGCGCCCCGCCUGGGGAGUACGGCCGCAAGGCUAAAACUCAAAGGAAUUGACGGGGGCCCGCACAAGCGGCGGAGCAUGCUGAUUAAUUCGAUGCAACGCGAAGAACCUUACCAAGGCUUGACAUGCACCGGACAGUCCCAGAGAUGGGAUCUUCUUCGGACUGGUGCACAGGUGGUGCAUGGUUGUCGUCAGCUCGUGUCGUGAGAUGUUGGGUUAAGUCCCGCAACGAGCGCAACCCUCGUUCUAUGUUGCCAGCACGUGAUGGUGGGGACUCAUAGGAGACUGCCGGGGUCAACUCGGA
rnacentral:rRNA from 1 species